rnacentral:rRNA from 1 species
GACGAACGCUGGCGGCGUGCCUAAUACAUGCAAGUCGAACGAAGAUCUAGCUUGCUAGAUCUUAGUGGCGAACGGGUGAGUAAUACAUAAAUAAUCUGCCCAUAUGACUGGGAUAACUAUUAGAAACGAUAGCUAAUACCGGAUAGGUUGAUUGGAGGCAUCUCUGAUUAAUUAAAGUAGGAUUUCUACACAAAUGGAUGAGUUUAUGGCGCACUAGUUAGUUGGUGGGGUAACGGCCUACCAAGACGAUGAUGCGUAGCCGACCUGAGAGGGUGACCGGCCACACUGGGACUGAGACACGGCCCAGACUCCUACGGGAGGCAGCAGUAGGGAAUUUUCGGCAAUGGGCGCAAGCCUGACCGAGCAACGCCGCGUGAGUGAUUAAGGCCUUCGGGUUGUAAAGCUCUGUUGUAAGGGAAGAACAUUCAGGAUAGGAAAUGAUCUUGAACUGACGGUACCUUACCAGAAAGCCACGGCUAACUACGUGCCAGCAGCCGCCGUAA